AAAAGUAGGGAGAGGUUUGCCGGUUUUAUUAUUUUUACCGGCUCGAAAUGGUCGGAGGCGAAGUUUUAAGGUGGGGUUUAAGUCCUAACCUGCAAGUCCAUGUUAACUUGAGCCGAUUGUGAUAAUUUCCGAUCAAAAUGUUAAAUUUUUCCCAUUUUUUUAAAAAUCGUUUUUCAAAGAUCGGUCAAUGUUCGUCACGAUACCACUUCAAACCGGCUCUUGACAAUUUUCAUUUGUUAGAAAAAAAUCAAAUAAAACAAUGAUUACGAGAUAAUCGUACAGGGGGGAAAUCUUCAUUCCGUCAGGUCAACUUUUAAAUUAAUGAAUGCAACACUGAUAACAGCCAAGCUAUGCGGACCAUUGGAGAUAAUGACAGGUGGAAAAUGCCUGUCUCAUGCGACCCUGAGAUCAAAGUAUUAUUUUGAAUGGCCCUGAACGACCACUGAUGGUACUACUCUAUUUCUUGGAAUUAGGUACAACUUGCUGGGUGCUUUCUGGUCUGACAGUCCAAACUAGCGAAGAAAGGCGGACCAAAUGGAGUGGUAAGGGCAAGAAAACACGAAACCUUUUAUCGUCAAACCUGAAGGCACUAACCCUGAAUUACCUGCCGUACCUGACGAGUACAAAAUACGCCAUGCCAGGUCCGAUGGACUUUUCUCGAAGGCAUUUUAGUAAGUUGAAGAAAA